rnacentral:rRNA from 1 species
AGUGGCUUGACACACAUGGCUGCUGUUGGUGUUCGCGUCCCUGUGUGGUUCUCGGGGAGCAAACGGGAACCCGUUGUUGACAACAGGUUUUGUAGGUUUGUCCGGUGGUUAUGGCGAAGGGGAAACACCCGGUCCCAUUCCGAACCCGGUAGUUAAGCCCUUCAGCGCCGAUGGUACUGCAUGGGUGACUGUGUGGGAGAGUAGGACGCCGCCGGAC